rnacentral:rRNA from 1 species
GACGAACGCUGGCGGCGUGCUUAACACAUGCAAGUCGAACGCUGAAGCUUGGUGCUUGCACUGGGUGGAUGAGUGGCGAACGGGUGAGUAAUACGUGAGUAACCUGCCCUUGACUCUGGGAUAAGCCUGGGAAACUGGGUCUAAUACUGGAUACGACAUGUCACCGCAUGGUGGUGUGUGCAAAGGGUUUUACUGGUUUUGGAUGGGCUCACGGCCUAUCAGCUUGUUGGUGGGGUAAUGGCUCACCAAGGCGACGACGGGUAGCCGGCCUGAGAGGGUGACCGGCCACCCUGGGACUGAGACACGGCCCAGACUCCUACGGGAGGCAGCAGUGGGGAAUAUUGCACAAUGGGCGGAAGCCUGAUGAAGCGACGCCGCGUGAGGGAUGACGGCCUUCGGGUUGUAAACCUCUUUAAGCAAGGAAGAAGCGAAAGUGACGGUACGUGCAGAAGAAGCGCCGGCUAACUACGUG